UUGAACGCUGGCGGCAUGCUUUACACAUGCAAGUCGAACGGUAACAGGCCUUCGGGUGCUGACGAGUGGCGAACGGGUGAGUAAUGCAUCGGAACGUACCCAGAGGUGGGGGAUAACGCAGCGAAAGCUGUGCUAAUACUGCAUGUGAUCUGAGGAUGAAAGCGGGGGACCGAGCAGCAAUGUUUGGCCUCGCGCCUUUGGAGCGGCCGAUGUCGGAUUAGCUAGUUGGUGGGGUAAAGGCCUACCAAGGCGACGAUCCGUAGCUGGUCUGAGAGGACGACCAGCCACACUGGGACUGAGACACGGCCCAGACUCCUACGGGAGGCAGCAGUGGGGAAUUUUGGACAAUGGGCGCAGGCCUGAUCCAGCAAUGCCGCGUGCGGGAAGAAGGCCUUCGGGUUGUAAACCGCUUUUGGCAGGAACGAAACGGUGUCCGCUAAUACCGGGCGCUAAUGACGGUACCUGCAGAAUAAGCACCGGCUAACUACGUG
rnacentral:rRNA from 1 species